rnacentral:rRNA from 1 species
GAGGGCAUAUAGUCCUCGCUUUUCACGACCGUAAGGAGGUCGUAGAAUAAGUGCUGGGCAAGACCGGUGCCAGCCGCCGCGGUAAUACCGGCAGCACAGUGAUGACCGCUAUUAUUGGGCCUAAAGCGUCCGUAGCUGGCCACGCAAGUUCGUCGGGAAAUCUGCGCGCUUAACGCGCAGGCGUCCGGUGGAAACUGUGUGGCUUGGGACCGGAAGACCAGAGGGGUACGUCCGGGGUAGGAGUGAAAUCCCGUAAUCCUGGACGGACCACCGGUGGCGAAAGCGCCUCUGGAAGACGGAUCCGACGGUGAGGGACGAAAGCUCGGGUCACGAACCGGAUUAGAUACCCGGGUAGUCCGAGCUGUAAACGAUGUCUGCUAGGUGUGGCACAGGCUACGAGCCUGUGCUGUGCCGUAGGGAAGCCGUGAAGCAGACCGCCUGGGAAGUACGUCCGCAAGGAUGAAACUUAAAGGAAUUGGCGGGGGAGCCACA